rnacentral:rRNA from 1 species
AGUGAACGCUGGCGGUAGGCCUAACACAUGCAAGUCGAACGGCAGCACAGUAAGAGCUUGCUCUUACGGGUGGCGAGUGGCGGACGGGUGAGGAAUACAUCGGAAUCUACUUUUUCGUGGGGGAUAACGUAGGGAAACUUACGCUAAUACCGCAUACGACCUACGGGUGAAAGCAGGGGAUCUUCGGACCUUGCGCGAUUGAAUGAGCCGAUGUCGGACUAGCUAGUUGGCGGGGUAAAGGCCCACCAAGGCGAUGAUCCGUAGCUGGUCUGAGAGGAUGAUCAGCCACACUGGAACUGAGACACGGUCCAGACUCCUACGGGAGGCAGCAGUGGGGAAUAUUGGACAAUGGGCGCAAGCCUGAUCCAGCCAUACCGCGUGGGUGAAGAAGGCCUUCGGGUUGUAAAGCCCUUUUGUUGGGAAAGAAAAGCAGCAGGUUAAUACCCCGCUGUUCUGACGGUACCCAAAGAAUAAGCACCGGCUAACUUCGUG